UGGUGUGUGACUCAGUGGUAGAGUACAUGCUUAGCAUGCACAAGGCCCUGGGUUCAAUCCCCAGCACCCUUC
rnacentral:tRNA from 1 species